rnacentral:sRNA from 1 species
GCUGGGCAUGGUGGUGCACUCCUGUAAUCCCAGCAACUUGGGAGGCUGAGGUAGGAGGAUUGUAAGUUCAAGGCCAGCCUCAA